rnacentral:rRNA from 1 species
UCCUACGGGGGGCAGCAGUGAGGAAUAUUGGUCAAUGGCCGGAAGGCUGAACCAGCCAAGCCGCGUGAAGGACGAAGGUGCCAAGCAUUGUAAACUUCUUUUGUCAAGGGACAAAAUCAGGCUCGAGAGCCUGACCGAGGGUACUUGAAGAAAAAGCAUCGGCUAACUCCGUGCCAGCAGCCGCGGUAAUACGGAGGAUGCGAGCGUUAUCCGGAUUUAUUGGGCGUAAAGGGCUCGUAGGCGGUUCGUCGCGUCCGGUGUGAAAGUCCAUCGCUUAACGAUGGAUCCGCGCCGGGUACGGGCGG